rnacentral:rRNA from 1 species
UUAAGUUAUUAAGGGCGCACGGUGGAUGCCUUGGCACUAGAAGCCGAUGAAGGACGUUACUAACGACGAUAUGCUUUGGGGAGCUGUAAGUAAGCUUUGAUCCAGAGAUUUCCGAAUGGGGAAACCCAGCAUGAGUUAUGUCAUGUUAUCGAUAUGUGAAUACAUAGCAUAUCAGAAGGCACACCCGGAGAACUGAAACAUCUUAGUACCCGGAGGAAGAGAAAGAAAAUUCGAUUCCCUUAGUAGCGGCGAGCGAAACGGGAAGAGCCCAAACCAACAAGCUUGCUUGUUGGGGUUGUAGGACACUCUAUACGGAGUUACAAAGGACGACAUUAGACGAAUCAUCUGGAAAGAUGAAUCAAAGAAGGUAAUAAUCCUGUAGUCGAAAAUGUUGUCUCUCUUGAGUGGAUCCUGAGUACGACGGAGCACGUGAAAUUCCGUCGGAAUCUGGGAGGACCAUCUCCUAAGGCUAAAUACUCUCUAGUGACCGAUAGUGAACCAGUACCGUGAGGGAAAGGUGAAAAGCACCCCGGAAGGGGAGUGAAAUAGAACCUGAAACCGUGUGCUUACAAGUAGUCAGAGCCCGUUAAUGGGUGAUGGCGUGCCUUUUGUAGAAUGAACCGGCGAGUUACGAUUUGAUGCAAGGUUAAGCAGUAAAUGUGGAGCCGUAGCGAAAGCGAGUCUGAAUAGGGCGUUUAGUAUUUGGUCGUAGACCCGAAACCAGGUGAUCUACCCUUGGUCAGGUUGAAGUUCAGGUAACACUGAAUGGAGGACCGAACCGACUUACGUUGAAAAGUGAGCGGAUGAACUGAGGGUAGCGGAGAAAUUCCAAUCGAACCUGGAGAUAGCUGGUUCUCUCCGAAAUAGCUUUAGGGCUAGCCUCAAGUGAUGAUUAUUGGAGGUAGAGCACUGUUUGGACGAGGGGCCCCUCUCGGGUUACCGAAUUCAGACAAACUCCGAAUGCCAAUUAAUUUAACUUGGGAGUCAGAACAUGGGUGAUAAGGUCCGUGUUCGAAAGGGAAACAGCCCAGACCACCAGCUAAGGUCCCAAAAUAUAUGUUAAGUGGAAAAGGAUGUGGCGUUGCCCAGACAACUAGGAUGUUGGCUUAGAAGCAGCCAUCAUUUAAAGAGUGCGUAAUAGCUCACUAGUCGAGUGACACUGCGCCGAAAAUGUACCGGGGCUAAACAUAUUACCGAAGCUGUGGAUUGUCCUUUGGACAAUGGUAGGAGAGCGUUCUAAGGGCGUUGAAGCAUGAUCGUAAGGACAUGUGGAGCGCUUAGAAGUGAGAAUGCCGGUGUGAGUAGCGAAAGACGGGUGAGAAUCCCGUCCACCGAUUGACUAAGGUUUCCAGAGGAAGGCUCGUCCGCUCUGGGUUAGUCGGGUCCUAAGCUGAGGCCGACAGGCGUAGGCGAUGGAUAACAGGUUGAUAUUCCUGUACCACCUAUAAUCGUUUUAAUCGAUGGGGGGACGCAGUAGGAUAGGCGAAGCGUGCGAUUGGAUUGCACGUCUAAGCAGUAAGGCUGAGUAUUAGGCAAAUCCGGUACUCAUUAAGGCUGAGCUGUGAUGGGGAGAAGACAUUGUGUCUUCGAGUCGUUGAUUUCACACUGCCGAGAAAAGCCUCUAGAUAGAAAAUAGGUGCCCGUACCGCAAACCGACACAGGUAGUCAAGAUGAGAAUUCUAAGGUGAGCGAGCGAACUCUCGUUAAGGAACUCGGCAAAAUGACCCCGUAACUUCGGGAGAAGGGGUGCUCUUUAGGGUUAACGCCCAGAAGAGCCGCAGUGAAUAGGCCCAAGCGACUGUUUAUCAAAAACACAGGUCUCUGCUAAACCGUAAGGUGAUGUAUAGGGGCUGACGCCUGCCCGGUGCUGGAAGGUUAAGAGGAGUGGUUAGCUUCUGCGAAGCUACGAAUCGAAGCCCCAGUAAACGGCGGCCGUAACUAUAACGGUCCUAAGGUAGCGAAAUUCCUUGUCGGGUAAGUUCCGACCCGCACGAAAGGCGUAACGAUUUGGGCACUGUCUCAACGAGAGACUCGGUGAAAUCAUAGUACCUGUGAAGAUGCAGGUUACCCGCGACAGGACGGAAAGACCCCGUGGAGCUUUACUGUAGCCUGAUAUUGAAAUUCGGCACAGCUUGUACAGGAUAGGUAGGAGCCUUUGAAACGUGAGCGCUAGCUUACGUGGAGGCGCUGGUGGGAUACUACCCUAGCUGUGUUGGCUUUCUAACCCGCACCACUUAUCGUGGUGGGAGACAGUGUCAGGCGGGCAGUUUGACUGGGGCGGUCGCCUCCUAAAAGG